CACGUAGGGCGCAAGCGUUGUCCGGAAUUAUUGGGCGUAAAGAGCUCGUAGGCGGUCUGCUACGUCCGCUGUGAAAACCCGGGGCUUAACCCUUGGCUGGCAGUGGAUACGGACAGACUAGAGGUAGGUAGGGGAGAAUGGAAUUCCCGGUGUAGCGGUGAAAUGCGCAGAUAUCGGGAGGAACACCGGUGGCGAAGGCGGUUCUCUGGGCCUUACCUGACGCUGAGGAGCGAAAGCGUGGGGAGCGAACAGG
rnacentral:rRNA from 1 species